UACGACGGGUCGCUGGUCUGAGAGGACGACCAGCCACACUGGCACUGAGAUACGGGCCAGACUCCUACGGGAGGACAGCAGUGAGGUAAUAUUGCGCAAUGGGGAAACCCUGACGCAGCAACGCCGCGUGUGGGAAGAAGGCCUUCGGGUCGUAAACCACUUUUGCAACGGGACGAAAAAAGGGACUAUCGAACAAAUAUACCCCGAUGACGGUACCGUGAGAAUAAAGCCUACGGCUAACUCUGUGCCAGCAGCCGCGGUAAGACAGAGGUGGCAAGCGUUGUUCGGAAUUACUGGGCGUAAAGAGUCUGUAGGUGGUUUGUCAAGUCUUUGGUGAAAAGGCCGUAGUCUUAACUAUGGGAAUCGCCAAAGAGACUGGCAGGCUGGAGGCUGGGAGAGGGAAGCGGAAUUUCUGGUGUAGCGGUGAAA
rnacentral:rRNA from 1 species